UAGGGAAUCUUCGGCAAUGGACGAAAGUCUGACCGAGCAACGCCGCGUGAGUGAAGAAGGUUUUCGGAUCGUAAAACUCUGUUGGUAGAGAAGAACGUUGGUGAGAGUGGAAAGCUCAUCAAGUGACGGUAACUACCCAGAAAGGGACGGCUAACUUCGUGUCAG
rnacentral:rRNA from 1 species